rnacentral:tRNA from 1 species
GGCGUUGUGGCAGAGCCCGUCUUAUUGCACCUGACUUGAAAUCAGACUAUCGGAAACGGUACGUGAGUUCGAAUCUCACCGGCGCCUC